rnacentral:rRNA from 1 species
UACGAAGGGGGCUAGCGUUGCUCGGAAUCACUGGGCGUAAAGCGCACGUAGGCGGGUCGCUAAGUCGGGGGUGAAAUCCUGGAGCUCAACUCCAGAACUGCCUUCGAUACUGGCGACCUUGAGUCCGGGAGAGGUGAGUGGAACUCCGAGUGUAGAGGUGAAAUUCGUAGAUAUUCGGAAGAACACCAGUGGCGAAGGCGGCUCACUGGCCCGGUACUGACGCUGAGGUGCGAAAGCGUGGGGAGCAAACAGG